rnacentral:rRNA from 1 species
UACAGGGGGGGCAAGCGUUGUUCGGAAUUAUUGGGCGUAAAGGGCGCGUAGGCGGCCUUCUAAGUCGAACGUGAAAUCCCCGGGCUCAACCCGGGAACUGCGUCCGAUACUGGAAGGCUUGAAUCCGGGAGAGGGAUGUGGAAUUCCAGGUGUAGCGGUGAAAUGCGUAGAUAUCUGGAGGAACACCGGUGGCGAAGGCGACAUCCUGGACCGGUAUUGACGCUGAGGCGCGAAAGCCAGGGGAGCAAACGGG